rnacentral:rRNA from 1 species
UCCAGACUCCUACGGGAGGCAGCAGUGGGGAAUAUUGGGCAAUGGGCGCAAGCCUGACCCAGCAACGCCGCGUGAAGGAAGAAGGCUUUCGGGUUGUAAACUUCUUUUAAGAGGGAAGAGCAGAAGACGGUACCUCUUGAAUAAGCCACGGCUAACUACGUGCCAGCAGCCGCGGUAAUACGUAGGUGGCAAGCGUUGUCCGGAUUUACUGGGUGUAAAGGGCGUGUAGCCGGGCUGACAAGUCAGAUGUGAAAUCCGGGGGCUCAACCCCUGAACUGCAUUUGAAACUGUAGGUCUUGAGUAUCGGAGAGGCAGGCGGAAUUCCUGGUGUAGCGGUGAAAUGCGUAGAUAUCAGGAGGAACACCGGCGGCGAAGGCGGCUUACUGGACGGCAACUGACGUUGAGGCCCGAAAGCGUGGGGAGCGAACAGGAUUAGAUACCCUUGUA